rnacentral:rRNA from 1 species
CCCUUAGAUAUCCUGGGCUGCACGCGUGCUACAAUGAUACGUGCAACGAGUUAAUCCUGCUCUGAAAGGAGUGGGUAAUCUUAUGAAUGCGUAUCGUGCUUGGGAUUGACCAUUGUAAUUAUUGGUCAUGAACGAGGAAUUCCUAGUAAGCACAAGUCAUCAGCUUGUGCUGAUUACGUCCCUGCCCUUUGUACACACCGCCCGUCGCUCCUACCGAUUGAGUGUUCCGGUGAAUUAUUCGGACUGCAACAGUUAUCUGUCGCGGAAAGUCUUGUGAACCUUAACACUUAGAGGAAGGAAAAGUCGUAACA